rnacentral:rRNA from 1 species
UACGUAGGGUGCGAGCGUUGUCCGGAAUUAUUGGGCGUAAAGAGCUUGUAGGCGGUUUGUCGCGUCUGCCGUGAAAAUCCGGGGCUCAACCCCGGACUUGCGGUGGGUACGGGCAGACUAGAGUGUGGUAGGGGGAGACGUGAAUUCCUGGUGUAGCGGUGAAAUGCGCAGAUAUCAGGAGGAACACCAAUGGCGAAGGCAGCUCGCUGGGACGUGACUGACGCUGAGACGCGAAAGCGUGGGGAGCAAACAGG